rnacentral:rRNA from 1 species
UACGUAGGUCGCAAGCGUUGUCCGGAUUUACUGGGCGUAAAGAGCGCGCAGGCGGCUGGUCAAGUCCGAUGUGAAAUCUCCCGGCUCAACUGGGAAACUGCAUCGGAAACUGAUCGGCUUGAAGAUGGGAGAGGGUAGUGGAAUUCCCGGUGUAGUGGUGAAAUGCGUAGAUAUCGGGAGGAACACCAGUGGCGAAGGCGACUACCUGGCCCAUUCUUGACGCUGAGGCGCGAAAGCUAGGGGA